rnacentral:rRNA from 1 species
AGUGAACGCUGGCGGUAGGCCUAACACAUGCAAGUCGAACGGCAGCACAGGAGAGCUUGCUCUCUGGGUGGCGAGUGGCGGACGGGUGAGGAAUACAUCGGAAUCUACCUUUUCGUGGGGGAUAACGUAGGGAAACUUACGCUAAUACCGCAUACGACCUACGGGUGAAAGUGGGGGACCGCAAGGCCUCACGCGAUUAGAUGAGCCGAUGUCCGAUUAGCUAGUUGGCGGGGUAAUGGCCCACCAAGGCGACGAUCGGUAGCUGGUCUGAGAGGAUGAUCAGCCACACUGGAACUGAGACACGGUCCAGACUCCUACGGGAGGCAGCAGUGGGGAAUAUUGGACAAUGGGCGCAAGCCUGAUCCAGCCAUACCGCGUGGUGAAGAAGGCCUUCGGGUUGUAAAGCCCUUUUGUUGGGAAAGAAAUCUUGCCGGUUAAUACCUGGCGAGGAUGACGGUACCCAAAGAAUAAGCACCGGCUAACUUCGUGCCAGCCGCCGCAGUAACAC